rnacentral:rRNA from 1 species
CGGGGUGCAGCAGGCGCGAAAACUUUACAAUGCUGGCAACAGCGAUAAGGGGACCUCGAGUGCCAGGAUACAAUCUUGGCUGUCGUGAUGCCUAAAAAGCAUUGCAUAGCAAGGGCCGGGCAAGACCGGUGCCAGCCGCCGCGGUAACACCGGCGGCUCGAGUGGUAACCGCUAUUAUUGGGUCUAAAGGGUCUGUAGCCGGCCGGAUAAGUCUUUUGGGAAAUCCAGCUGCUCAACAGUUGGGCUUUCAGAAGAUACUGUUCGGCUCGAGGCCGGGAGAGGUGAGAGGUACUUCAGGGGUAGGGGUGAAAUCUUGUAAUCCUUGAAGGACCACCAGUGGCGAAGGCGUCUCACCAGAACGGUCCUGACGGCAAGGGACGAAAGCUAGGGGCACGAACCGGAUUAGAUACCCGGGUAGUCCUAGCCGUAAACGAUACUCGCUAGGUGUCAGCCACGGUGCGACCGUGGUUGGUGCCGUAGGGAAGCCGUGAAGCGAGCCACCUGGGAAGUACGGCCGCAAGGCUGAAACUUAAAGGAAUUGGCGGGGGAGCAC